GGGUGGUUGGCCGAGUGGUAAAGGGCCAGCCUGGAAUCCUUCUGAAGUAGGUGUUCUGUUGAUUGGGGAGUCGACCACACUGAACAGAAGGUUGUGAGUUUGAAUCUCACCUUGACCA